rnacentral:tRNA from 1 species
GGCUGUGUGGUCUAGUGGUAUGAUUCUCGCUUUGAGUGCAAGAGGUCUCGAGUUCGAUUAUCGAAUCAGCCC